CUCCACGUCGCCCAGUGGACAGGGCGCCUGGCUACGAACCAGGAGGUCGGAGGUUCGACUCCUCCCGUGGAGA
rnacentral:tRNA from 1 species